CCUACGGGGUGCAGCAGUGAGGAAUAUUGGUCAAUGGCCGGAAGGCUGAACCAGCCAUGCCGCGUGAAGGUCAGUGCCCUAUGGGCGUUAAGCUUCUUUUGUGCGGGAGCAAUAAUGGUCACGUGUGGCCAGACGAGAGUACCGUACGAAUAAGCAUCGGCUAACUCCGUGCCAGCAGCCGCGGUAAUACGGGGGAUGCAAGCGUUAUCCGGAUUUAUUGGGUUUAAAGGGUGAGUAGGCUGGGAGGUAAGUAAGCGUUGAAAUGCCCCCGCUCAACGGGGUGAAGUGCCAUUGAUACUGCCGUGCUGGAAUGCGGAUGCCGUGGGAGGAAUGUGUGGUGUAGCGGUGAAAUGCAUAGAUAUCACACAGAACACCGAUUGCGAAGGCAUCUCACGAAUCCGCGAUUGACGCUGAUGCACGAAAGCGUGGGUAUCAAACAGGAUUAGAUACCCGAGUAGUC
rnacentral:rRNA from 1 species